GCGGGCGUGGCGGAAUUGGUAGACGCGAUAGGUUUAGGUCCUAUUGUCGAGAGACGUGGGGGUUCGAGUCCCUUCGCCCGUACCA
rnacentral:tRNA from 1 species